rnacentral:rRNA from 1 species
UGGGGAAUAUUGCACAAUGGGCGCAAGCCUGAUGCAGCAACGCCGCGUGAGGGACGACGGCCUUGGGUUGUAAACCUCUUUUAGUAGGGAAGAAGCGAAAGUGACGGUACCUGCAGAAAAAGUACCGGCUAACUACGUGCC